rnacentral:pre_miRNA from 1 species
CACAUACUCCCUCCGUUCGGAAUUACUUGUCGCAGAAAUGGAUGUAUCUAGACGUAUUUUAGUUCUAGAUACAUCCAUUUUCGAGACAAGUAAUUCCGAACGGAGGAAGUACCUU